rnacentral:rRNA from 1 species
GACGGAGGGUGCAAGUGUUAUCCGGAAUCACUGGGCGUAAAGCGUCUGUAGGUGGUUUAAAAAGUCCACUGUUAAAAAUUGAAGCUUAACUUCAAAGAUGCCGUGGAAACUUUUAAACUUGAGUAUGGUAGGGGUAGAGGGAAUUUCCAGUGGAGCGGUGAAAUGCGUAGAUAUUGGAAAGACCACCAAUGGCGAAGGCACUCUACUGGGCCAUUACUGACACUGAGAGACGAAAGCUAGGGGAGCAAAUGGG